rnacentral:rRNA from 1 species
UACGUAGGGUGCAAGCGUUAAUCGGAAUUACUGGGCGUAAAGCGUGCGCAGGCGGUGAUGUAAGACAGAUGUGAAAUCCCCGGGCUCAACCUGGGAACUGCAUUUGUGACUGCAAGGCUAGAGUACGGUAGAGGGGGAUGGAAUUCCGCGUGUAGCAGUGAAAUGCGUAGAUAUGCGGAGGAACACCGAUGGCGAAGGCAAUCCCCUGGACCUGUACUGACGCUCAUGCACGAAAGCGUGGGGAGCAAACAGG